rnacentral:rRNA from 1 species
CCCUUAGAUGUCCUGGGCCGCACGCGCGCUACACUGAACGGAUCAGCGCGUUUUCCCUUCCCGAGAGGGACGGGUAACCUGCUGAACCCCGUUCGUGGUAGGGAUCGGGGCUUGCAAUUAUUCCCCGUGAACCAGGAAUUCCCAGUAAGUGCAAGUCAUAAGCUUGCGUUGAUUACGUCCCUGCCCUUUGUACACACCGCCCGUCGCUACUACCGAUUGAACGUUUUAGUGAGGUACUCGGACUGAGCCUCAGAAGAUUCACGUCUUUUGUGCUGCUCGGGAAGAUUCCCAAACUUGAGCGUUUAGAGGAAGUAAAAGUCGUAACA